GUUCCUAUGAAAAUGAAUGGCAAAUAAAAAAUUAUAUGUGUGACAUAUUUUAAUUUAAAUCAGAUUAUGCAUGUAUUUUUAUGUGUUUUAGAUCGUAAAAUAUUAUAUUUGAUAUAUUGUUUGACAUACGAUCUAAAACUUAAAUUUCUGUAAAAUCUUAGAUCCAAAACCCUAAGCUUUGUUUGCAUGAGAGCAUAAAACUGUAACUGGUAUGCUUGUGGAGUCGACUCAAUUCUCGAUUGGGUCAACUUAAAUGCUUGGUGAGUUGACUCAUUUUUGUUGGAGUCGAAUCAAGGCUCUGGUAAGUCAGCUCAUUUGCUGAUGAGCCGACUCAAUUUUGCAGGCUAGAUCUAUAGGUUUAUGUUUGUCUCAGUGUGUGCCGACUCUCCGUGACAAGUCGAUUCAUGUACCAGAGUUAAUCGACUCGAUUCUACAAACAGCGAUAUUGUAUGAGAUACAAUAUAAAUGGUUUAGAUUAGAAAAUAUUUCAAGAUCUGAACCCAAACCCAUAUACAUAAUGCACUUAAUUAAGAAUUAAGAUUUGAAAAUAUAAAAUCUGAAAUUAUGAAUUUAAGAUCUAAAUUUCAAUGCAUAAAAUAUGGGCUUUCGAGUAUGGGUUGAACAAAUUAGGUUUAGAGACUAAACUACAACUAGGGUCAUUGAUUAGAUCAGGUUAGAACCCAUUUUGAUUUUAAGCAGUUGAUCAAACCUAAUCAAGAAUUGAUUGGGAUUAGAUCAAAGGGG
rnacentral:lncRNA from 1 species